AUACGUAGGUGGCGAGCGUUAUCCGGAAUUAUUGGGCGUAAAGGGUGCGUAGGCGGCACAUUAAGUCUAAGGUUAAAGUUCGAGGCUCAACUUCGGAUUGCCUUAGAAACUGGUGAGCUAGAGUGCAGGAGAGGGCAAUGGAAUUCCCUGUGUAGCGGUAAAAUGCGUAGAUAUAUGGAGGAACACCAGUGGCGAAGGCGGUUGCCUGGCCUGUAACUGACGCUGAGGCACGAAAGCGUGGGGAGCAAAUAGGAUUAGAUACCCUAGUAGUCCACGCUGUAAACGAUGAUUACUAAGUGUUGGAGAAAUUCAGUGCUGCAGUUAACGCAAUAAGUAAUCCGCCUGGGGAGUAUGCACGCAAGUGUGAAACUCAAAUGAAUUGACGGGG
rnacentral:rRNA from 1 species